rnacentral:rRNA from 1 species
GUGAACGCUGGCGGCGUGGAUAAGGCAUGCAAGUCGAAUGGGUUAGACCCAUGGCAGACGAGGUAGUAAUACGUAGGUACGUACCGGAAAGUUGGGCAUAACCAGUCGAAAGAUUGGAUAAUUCCCAAUAGUCUCGCGAGAGUAAAGAUUUAUCGCUUUCCGAGCGGCCUGCGGAGUAUCAGCUAGUUGGUGGGGUAAUGGCCCACCAAGGCUAUGACGCUUAGGGGAGCUGAGAGGCUGACCCCCACCGAUAGCACUGAGACACGGGCUAUACAUCUACGGAUGGCCGCAGUCGAGAAUCUUCGGCAAUGGACGAAAGUCUGACCGAGCGACGCCGCGUGAUGGAUGAAGUCCUUCGGGACGUAAACAUCUUUUAUGAGGGAGGAAGUUUAUUGACGUUACCUCAUGAAUAAGAAGCUUCUAAACUCGU